rnacentral:rRNA from 1 species
AGUUUGAUCCUGGCUCAGGAUGAACGCUGGCGGCGUGCCUAAUACAUGCAAGUCGAGCGAACGGACGAGAAGCUUGCUUCUCUGAUGUUAGCGGCGGACGGGUGAGUAACACGUGGAUAACCUACCUAUAAGACUGGGAUAACUUCGGGAAACCGGAGCUAAUACCGGAUAAUAUUUUGAACCGCAUGRUUCAAAAGUGAAAGRCGGUCUUGCUGUCACUUAUAGAUGGAUCCGCGCUGCAUUAGCUAGUUGGUAAGGUAACGGCUUACCAAGGCAACGAUGCAUAGCCGACCUGAGAGGGUGAUCGGCCACACUGGAACUGAGACACGGUCCAGACUCCUACGGGAGGCAGCAGUAGGGAAUCUUCCGCAAUGGGCGAAAGCCUGACGGAGCAACGCCGCGUGAGUGAUGAAGGUCUUCGGAUCGUAAAACUCUGUUAUUAGGGAAGAABAUAUGUGUAAGUAACUGUGCACAUCUUGACGGUACCUARUCAGAAAGCCACGGCUAACUACGUGCCAGCAGCCGCGGUAAUACGUAGGUGGCAAGCGUUAUCCGGAAUUAUUGGGCGUAAAGCGCGCGUAGGCGGUUUUUUAAGUCUGAUGUGAAAGCCCACGRCUCAACCGUGGAGGGUCAUUGGAAACUGGAAAACUUGAGUGCAGAAGAGGAAAGUGGAAUUCCAUGUGUAGCGGUGAAAUGCGCAGAGAUAUGGAGGAACACCAGUGGCGAAGGCGACUUUCUGGUCUGUAACUGACGCUGAUGUGCGAAAGCGUGGGGAUCAAACAGGAUUAGAUACCCUGGUAGUCC